rnacentral:rRNA from 1 species
GAUGAACGCUCUCUGCGUGCUUAACACAUGCAAGUCGAGGGAUGAAGUUUCCUUCGGUAGACUUAUUAGCGGCGGACGGGUGAAUAACACAUGAACAACCUGCCUCAUAGAGCGUAACACCCUUACAAAAGGAAGAUUAAUACCGCAUAAUGUUAAAAGAUGGCGUCUUCAUUCGACCUCAUUAUCAAUCCACUAUGAGAUGGACCCGCGACGCAUUACCUAAUUGGGGGGGUAACGGCCUACCUAGGCGACGAUGCGUAGCCUACCUGAUAGGAUGAUCAGGCACAUUGCGACUGAAACACGACCCAGACUCCUACCGUACGCAACACUGGAGAAUAUUGCACAAUGCAAGAAACCCUGAUGCAACCACGCCGCGUGAGUGAUGAAAGUUUUCCUAUCUGAAAGCUCUGUCUUUGUUGAAUAUAAUGACAGUACCCAAUGAAUAAUGCACUGCUAACUACAUGCCAACAACCACCGUAAUACUUAGGUGCCGAGCGUUAUCCGGAUUUACUGAUCCUAAAGGGAGCCUAAGCUGAUGAUUAAAUGGGAUGUGAAAUACCCACUGCUCAACUUGGGUGCUGCAUUCCAAACU